CUCCAGCUGCCUAGUCUACUGACAAUGCGCUUCCCGCUCGUGAUCCCGGGAGAAGGGGGCUGGGGUCAGCGUCGCCCGGGCGUGCGUGACUCAGGCCAGCCCGGGGGUCCCCUGGCCGCAGCUGGCCUCGCUCCCGCUUCUCCGCCCCCGUGACUCACCCCUCCCGGCUUUCCCCGCGUGUGACUCAGGCCCCUGGGGAGGGGGCUGCGGAGUCUGGGACCCCUACAGACAGUGGGGCCGAGAACCAAGUUCUGGGGACUUCGCUCUCCGCGGGGAAGGCCUCCCCCACCAGCGAGCAUCCGAGGGCCAGCGACUCCCCUUAGCAAGCCAGAGGCGCCCCCCCCAACUCCGCCUCUGAAUUGGUAGACCCCCCACCCCCACCCCUGCAAACCUCCGGGAACCCAGCCCCCAACCCCUCCUCCCAGCCCACAGGAAGUUUUGGCAGAGCCCGUCGCGGCGAUGAAACGGUUAAAGCCGUUUUCUUAUUCAUUUCAUCCAGGGGCCCAUUUUGACUCAGAGCAAGCCGGCGCCCCCCUCGAGCCUGGCCUCCUGGGGGCCUGGGUGCAUACUCCACCCCACAUGUACCAUUUUUAGAGAGGGGAGGAUGGCGCUUGGUGAGCUGGCUGGGGGUCUUGGGUAGCAUAUAGAGCUGGGUUCAAAUCCUGUCUCUGCCCUCAUUGCUGCCUGGACCUCAGUUUCCCCAUCUGAAAAUGAGGGAUCAUUAUGUCCAGCUUGUUGGGUUGUUGUGGGGAUUAGGUGAAUAAUAGAUGGGAAACUCUGCAUCCAGGGUUGAGCACGGGAGCCAGAAGAGGGCUCCUCCUGUUUCUCAGGCCUGGGUGUCAGGGUGCCCAGCAGAA
rnacentral:lncRNA from 1 species